UACGUAGGGGGCUAGCGUUGUCCGGAUUUAUUGGGCGUAAAGAGCGUGUAGGCGGCCAGGUAGGUCUGCUGUGAAAACUCGAGGCUCAACCUCGAGACGUCGGCGGAAACCAUCUGGCUAGAGUCCGGAAGAGGAGAGUGGAAUUCCUGGUGUAGCGGUGAAAUGCGCAGAUAUCAGGAAGAACACCCGUAGCGAAGGCAGCUCGCUGGGACGUAACUGACGCUGAGACGCGAAAGCGUGGGGAGCGAACAGG
rnacentral:rRNA from 1 species